rnacentral:rRNA from 1 species
UUUGAUCCUGGCUCAGAACGAACGCUGGCGGCAGGCUUAACACAUGCAAGUCGAACGCCCGCAAGGGGAGUGGCAGACGGGUGAGUAACGCGUGGGAACAUACCCUUUCCUGCGGAAUAGCUCCGGGAAACUGGAAUUAAUACCGCAUACGCCCUACGGGGGAAAGAUUUAUCGGGGAAGGAUUGGCCCGCGUUGGAUUAGCUAGUUGGUGGGGUAAAGGCCAACCAAGGCGACGUCAAUGGUGGUACUGAAAGGAUGAUCAGCCACAUUGGGACUGAGACACGGCCCAAACUCCUACGGGAGGCAGCAGUGGGGAAUAUUGGACAAUGGGCGCAAGCCUGAUCCAGCCAUGCCGCGUGAGUGAUGAAGGCUCUUAGGGUUGUAAAACUACAUUCACCGUAUGAAGAUACAUGACG